GAGUUUGAUUCUGGCUCAGGAUGAACGCGGCGGCGUGCUUAACACAUGCAAGUCGAACGGGCGAAUUAUAUCGGAGGUCUUCGGGCCGAAGAGAUAAUAAGCUAGUGGCGGACGGGUGCGUAACGUGUGGGUAAUCUGCCUUUGUCAUAGGAAUAACUGCUUGAAAAAGUAGCUAAUACCAAAUAACAUAUCGUAUAGGCAUCUAUAAGAUAUCAAAGAGAAAUCGGACAAAGAUGAGCCCGCAUCUGAUUAGCUGGUUGGUAGGGUAAAAGCCUACCAAGGCGACGAUCAGUAGCCGGCCUGAGAGGGUGAACGGCCACAUUGGAACUGAGACACGGUCCAAACUCCUACGGGAGGCAGCAGUGGGGAAUAUUGCACAAUGGGGGGAACCCUGAUGCAGCAACGCCGCGUGAGUGAAGAAGGCUUUCGAGUCGUAAAACUCUGUUGUAAGGGAAGAUAAUGACG
rnacentral:rRNA from 1 species